GACGAACGCUGGCGGCGUGCCUAAUACAUGCAAGUAGAACGGUGAAGCGCGGGUCUUGCUCUGCGCGGGUGAGGCGCGCACGGGUGAGUAACGCGUAUGUAACCUGCCUGGUAGCGGGGUAUAAUUAGGGGAAACGAGAUCUAAUACCGCAUAACAAUCGGUGACACAUGGCGGGUUGGUGAGAUUCGCAAUUGGUCCACUGCAAGAUGGACCUGCGUUGUAUUAGCUAGUAGGUGAGGUAAUGGAUCACCUAGGCGGGGUUACAUAGCCGACGUGAGAGGGUGAGCGGCCACACUGGGACGGAGACAGGCCACAGAGUCAUUCGGGAGGCAGCAGUAGGGCAACUUCGGCAAUGGGUGGAAAACUGAGCGCGAUAGGCCGAGUGCGUAUGGAGGGUCUUCGGAUCGUAAAGCACUGCUGUCGGGCAAGAAAGGGUGUGCGCGUGGAAAGUUGCCACUGUGACGGUAGCUGAUAAGAAAGCGACGGCUAACUACGUG
rnacentral:rRNA from 1 species